rnacentral:rRNA from 1 species
UACGUAGGGUGCGAGCGUUUGUCCGGAAUUAUUGGGCGUAAAGAGCUCGUAGGCGGUUUGUCGCGUCUGCCGUGAAAGUCCGGGGCUCAACUCCGGAUCUGCGGUGGGUACGGGCAGACUAGAGUGCAGUAGGGGAGACUGGAAUUCCUGGUGUAGCGGUGAAAUGCGCAGAUAUCAGGAGGAACACCGAUGGCGAAGGCAGGUCUCUGGGCUGUAACUGACGCUGAGGAGCGAAAGCAUGGGGAGCGAACAGG